rnacentral:rRNA from 1 species
UACGGAGGGUGCAAGCGUUGUCCGGAUUUAUUGGGUUUAAAGGGUGCGUAGGCGGCUGAUUAAGUCAGUGGUGAAAGGCAGCAGCUCAACUGUUUGCACGGCCAUUGAUACUGGUUAGCUUGAGUACAGUCGAGGUAGGCGGAAUUGAAGGUGUAGCGGUGAAAUGCAUAGAUAUCUUCAAGAACACCUAUUGCGAAGGCAGCUUACUAGGCUGUAACUGACGCUGAUGCACGAAAGCGUGGG